rnacentral:tRNA from 5 species
GCCCGAGUGGCGGAAUGGUAGACGCAGGGGAUUCAAAAUCCUCCGCCGCAAGGCGUGCGAGUUCGAGUCUCGCCUCGGGCACCA